rnacentral:rRNA from 1 species
AAUAGAUACCCGGGUAGUCCACGCCGUAAACGAUGAGUGCUAAGUGUUGGGGGGUUUCCGCCCCUCAGUGCUGCAGCUAACGCAUUAAGCACUCCGCCUGGGGAGUACGGUCGCAAGACUGAAACUCAAAGGAAUUGACGGGGGCCCGCACAAGCGGUGGAGCAUGUGGUUUAAUUCGAAGCAACGCGAAGAACCUUACCAGGUCUUGACAUCCCGGUGACCACUAUGGAGACAUAGUUUCCCCUUCGGGGGCAACGGUGACAGGUGGUGCAUGGUUGUCGUCAGCUCGUGUCGUGAGAUGUUGGGUUAAGUCCCGCAGCGAGCGCAACCCUUAUUCUUAGUUGCCACCAUUUAGUUGGGCACUCUAAGGAGACUGCCGGUGAUAAACCGGAGGAAGGUGGGGAUGACGUCAAAUCAUCAUGCCCCUUAUGACCUGGGCUACACACGUGCUACAAUGGACGGUACAAACGGUUGCCAACCCGCGAGGGGAGCUAAUCCGAUAAAACCGUUCUCAGUUCGGAUUGUAGGCUGCAACUCGCCUACA